AACACCCUCGACUUCACCGACUUCACCGCCUCCCUCCUCGACGGCGUGCAGGAGCUCCUCGGCCAGCGCGUCUCCCUCCAGCUCGUCAGCGCCACCGUCGGCGACCCAAGUACGUGCUCCCAGCAUGCACCUCGCUCCACUUUCAUGGCUUCCGCUGCAUCCUGAUCGGUCUUCUUCUCAGAGCAUGGCAACAGGGGGGUCGUCGGAGACCCGGCCUACCUGGACGGCUUCGUCAGCAAGCUUCCGUCCAUCGCCGCCGGGGAGUCCACCUUCGACGUCACGUUCCACUGGCAGGAGAAGAACGGCGUCCCUGGCGCAGUCAUCGUCAAGAACAGGCACGCGUCGCAGUUCUACCUCAAGAGCAUCACCUUGAAGGACUUCCCUGGGAAGGGCCGGAUUCACUUCGUC
rnacentral:lncRNA from 1 species